AAACAGCUCUACAGACUAACUCUGAUCCUGGUGGUGGUCCCCAGGGUCGCUUGUUUGUUCCUGUCUCUGUCCGCCCUCAGCUCUUCCAGUGGACCCACACAUCCCGGUUUACCUGCCAUCCUGGUGCUUUUUGCACCUUGUCUCUGCUUCAACACCACUUCUGGUGGCGAAUCAUGGCUGCUGACACCCGUGAGUAUGUCAAGGCCUGUACCGUGUGUGCCAGAGGGGAGGUAACUCAUCGACCACCUGCAGGUCUCCUCUGUCCGCUCCCAGUGCCCGGCCUUCCCACAUCGACUUUGUAACCAGAUUGCCUUUAUCCAAAGGUAAUGACACUAUUCUUACGAUUAUGGAUUGUUUCUCCAAAGCUGUACAUUUUGUGGCCCUUCCUAAACUUCCCUCAGCUAGAGAAACCGCAGAACUGUUGGUGAAUCGUGUGUUCCGGAUCGAUGGGAUUCCAGCAGACACUGUGUCGGAUAGAAGUCCCCAGUUCACGUCAAGGGUAUAGAAGGAGUUUUGCCAGGCACUCGGCAUGAUGGAGAGCUUAUCAGGAUACCACCCACAGUCUAACAGCCAGACGGAGAGAGCCAAUCAAGAUCUGGAGACAACGCUGCGCUGCAUAUGUGCUCGGAACCCAGCCUCAUGGAGUACACAUCUCACCUGAGGAGCAGGAGAUUGCCGUACCAUCGGUCCAGCGCAACCUCCGUAGGAUCUGCAGAAUCUGGAGGGAAACCAGAGCAGCUCUCCUGCACACCCAGCACCACAACCGGAGGUUGGCUGACCGGUGGCGUACUUCUGCCCCAGAAUACAAACCAGGACAAAAGUCUCGUGUUUUGCUGUCUUCUUGCCUGCCUGUGGACCUGCCUGCCUGUUGCCUGCUCUUCUUUGUUUCCGCUCUGUGUGAGUAUGCCGGAGAGAUGGACCUCUCUGCACCAUGCUGCAGCACCGCCAUCACCCUGCAGUGGACGCCGCAUCACAACAUCCUCAUCCUUGCUCUCACUGGUGACUUAACAAGUCAUGUUUGGUUCAACGUACCACCC